GCACCCUUGGUGUAUGGAAACACACAUCGUACAGUUUUGUACUCAAUAUCUGCCUAAUCAAGAUGAGCCCGGGGUUCGAAUCCCCGAGGGUGCA